rnacentral:lncRNA from 1 species
AUGGAAGUAAAUACAGCAAAGAGAAAAUGGAAUCAUCAACCGCUGUGCAAGGUUGGAAACUGUAGGGAGUCCAGGAGUGGGAGAGCUUCUGUCCCGGAGGAGAAGAGCCAUGGAUAUGCUGCCACAAUUGAGAUCGCAGAGACAGCAAAUACAAAAUGGCACAAAGAAGAAAAUAAAUGUUCCUAAGAGGAUGACUAUCAAUACUUCCUCCAUACAUAAUUUAUUCAAAUGGAUUGUUCCUGUGGAAUAAGAACAGAGUUCAGCAAAUGCAUGUGCUUCCAAAUGCAACUGAAGCCACUCAAUGCAACAUAAGCCACUCAAUGUAAAAGAAGCCACUCAUUCCCACGGCAAUGUUACAUGUAAAGGUAAAUAUGCAUUGCCAGUUGGUUAAAAUGCAGCAAAAUAUGGCUAGUAAUUUGCUUCAAGAAGAAGGAGCUACAGGAAAGUUGACUUAACCACGGCCCUCAUUCAUUCAUGCAAGCAUUUAGCCCAUCUUUAUGGAAUGCUUACUAUGAGAGGCACCGAGGCCUGAUUUCUAAUACUCCCGUCUUGUUUGAUGCCAGGUUACCUCUAGCGUUUUCCUUUUUUUGAUUAGUUUUCUUUUGUAUUUUGGGGUAUUGUUUUAUUUUGGCCACCCCAUGGCACAUGGAGUGCCCAGUGUAGGGGUGUGGAAAAGGGCAUAGGGAGCUUGACAAGAGCAAAACCAUUUUGCUGCCACCGUCCAUCUUGGUGAACUUAAGGUGACUCAUAUGAGGUCUCUGAGAAAAACAAAGUCACUAAGACUUGAGAAACUCCAGGCCCGAUUGUUCUAAAGAUAUUCAAAAAUAGCUAGAAUUACUUGAGGUUAAUCGUUAAAGUAACAAUACAAGACAUUCUGUACAGCUAUCAUCUUUCUGUAUCCUACAUGUAACUAAAGGUUAAUGUAGCAUGUUAAACACAUAAGCAAGCACUGUAAACAUUUGGGGUCCAUGAUUGGGAAGCGAUUCCCCAUGGACCCACUGGUGUAAUAGAGCUGUUCUCCAGCUUCCUUGAGUGUCCCCUGAGGUGAUUUCUGGGAAUUCUACAACUCCAGGCCAGGGAUCAGAUGUGACAUACAUACACUGUAGCUGCAGCAACUCCCGAUCCUUUAACACACAGUGCCGGGGGGAAGGAACCUGCCUUCCAGUGCUGCAGAGAUGCCCCUGAUCCCCUUGCCCCACAGCAGGAACUCCCUUCCUAGAGACUUCUGAGAAUGCCAAGGAGAGAAUGAGUAGGUGAAGAACUUGGUGUCACCUGACAUGAAGGCUAGAUGCCAGGGUUUCCUAGAAGAUGAGUGGCGGGAAGUGAGGGGCAUGCCCCCCCAACAAGGGCUGUAGUGUCAGCCCUAUCAGUCCCCUCUCUGAUCUCAGGUCUUCAAGGGAAUGAAAACUUUCUCUCUCUUACAAAAUGCCUGUGAGACUAGAAGGCUGGCAUGAUCUUACUCCCCUCCCGCCAGAAUAAAGGCAUUCAUCCAAAUACCCA